AAAUUGAAGAGUUUGAUCAUGGCUCAGAUUGAACGCUGGCGGCAGGCCUAACACAUGCAAGUCGAACGGUAACAGGAAGCAGCUUGCUGCUUCGCUGACGAGUGGCGGACGGGUGAGUAAUGUCUGGGAAACUGCCUGAUGGAGGGGGAUAACUACUGGAAACGGUGGCUAAUACCGCAUAACGUCGCAAGACCAAAGAGGGGGACCUUCGGGCCUCUUGCCAUCAGAUGUGCCCAGAUGGGAUUAGCUGGUUGGUGAGGUAACGGCUCACCAAGGCGACGAUCCCUAGCUGGUCUGAGAGGAUGACCAGCCACACUGGAACUGAGACACGGUCCAGACUCCUACGGGAGGCAGCAGUGGGGAAUAUUGCACAAUGGGCGCAAGCCUGAUGCAGCCAUGCCGCGUGUAUGAAGAAGGCCUUCGGGUUGUAAAGUACUUUCAGCGGGGAGGAAGGUGUUGUGGUUAAUAACUGCAGC
rnacentral:rRNA from 5 species